UGGAGCAUGUGGUUUAAUUCGACGCAACGCGAAGAACCUUACCAGGGCUUGACAUCCCCUGACCGCGUAUGAAAGUACGUUUUCACCCUCGGGUGACAGGGAGACAGGUGGUGCAUGGUUGUCGUCAGCUCGUGUCGUGAGAUGUUGGGUUAAGUCCCGCAACGAGCGCAACCCCUGUGGUUAGUUGCCAGCAAGUAGCGUUGGGCACUCUAGCCAGACUGCCGGUGAUAAAUCGGAGGAAGGUGGGGACGACGUCAAGUCAUCAUGCCCCUUAUGUCUUGGGCUGCACACGUGCUACAAUGGCCGGUACAAUGGGCUGCGAUGGGGUGACCCGGAGCGAAUCCCACAAAACCGGCCCCAGUUCGGAUCGAAGGCUGCAACUCGCCUUCGUGAAGUCGGAGUUGCUAGUAAUCGCGGAUCAGUAUGCCGCGGUGAAUACGUUCCCGGGCCUU
rnacentral:rRNA from 1 species